ACAAAAUACAUAUAGGGUAUGCUGUUAAUGAUGGUACAGAGAAGAGGCUUUCUUCACAAGCUGGGUUAGAUGAGUAACCUAAAGACGGAACAAUUUCUCAAAUUUAUUCAACUAACAGGUGUAUGGGAGGCAGAUGAAUUCCUAAACUACAUUCUGAGGACAAACAGAAGGUGCCUUGGGUCAUACUUCCCAAGGAAAUGCACUUAAGACUUGAGUCCUGAUGAAAAAAAGCUUCCAUCAACCCUUCUUCAUCUUGUAGUACAAUGGACCCUUGGAAGCAGAAAAUGAAUUAGAAAAAGCAAAAUAAACAUCAAAAAACCUGAGGCA
rnacentral:lncRNA from 1 species